AUGGCCAGACCAUUGACCAAUCAGAGUGCAGGACUGGCUUUCACUCUCUCUAGCAACAGUGAGUUUCUUGCUGCCUAUUCAUUAUUUAUUUUCCUGUGGUCUCCCUCUGCUGCGUGGACUGUGCUGGUAGGAAAGUGCUCUGUUCGUCUCCCACUCUGCCGUUUCCUGCUUUCUGCUGCUCUCUACCCAGACUGAAGGUGUCUAAAAGGGAAUGGAUCUACGGACGCCGAGCUGACCAGCUGCUGUGCUGACCUGUAAUGCAGAAAUAAGACACUUGGACCGUAACAGACUCUUUUCAACCUUGCAGGACUUGUUUUACUCUGGAACUUACUAUUACAUUGUGCUCAGCUUUUUUAAAAUCUUUGAUUUUUUUCUUUUUUUGCCUUCUUUGUGCUGCAUUUCAUUUGACCGUAAACAAAUAAAACAUGUCAACUGGAAAAACAACAGGACUUUUUCUCAAGAUGACAGCGAAGGGAGGGGGGACAGUAGAAGGCUGGACUUUUUGCAUGUUUUAUGGGCUCGGGUUAGGGGGGUGAGGAGCAGGUGGAGAGAUGAGGCAGAGGAGUUUUGGCUCUGGGUGGGUGGUGGUGGGGGGGGGGUGAUGGUGGUGUGAGGAUUACGGGCUGUGGUUGGGUAUGCCAGUGCCACGUGUCUAGCCUGGCACUUCUUGCUUGUCGAUCUGGAAGAUGUGGGACUGAGAGUCUUGCUGAGCCUGUCCAGCUUCUCUCUGAGCAAAAAGUGGGGUCAGUUAUUCCUUCUCCUGAAUUUCAGCAAACUUAAAGGAUUAAAAAGCUCUCUACUCCAAACAUUUUUCCUCCAAUCCGUCUUUUUAGAGUGUGGAGAUCCACCGACACCGGGCUGUUGGCUUUUCGUAAUCUUUCAUCAGAACACAAAAGUAGGACCAGUCUCACGGUUUUUGCCACUUAAAGGAAUAUGUUGCCGAUGCUCUCCCUCUGCUCCAUCAUUUGGCUGAACCGCGGUAUCAAGCUGAGGAAAGUACAGCAGUCCAGCAACACUGGUCAGCUCUGAAGCCGCUGCCACCACAGUCAUUACAGCAGCUACCUUAUAAACUAGUAAAAAUGCUUCUAAGCUUUGGGUGACUUUUCCUCCUUCCUUCAGCUCCCCCAGCCUAGAAACCACAGCACCAACACCUCCCUUUGGUGACUCAGCAGCAGCUUCAGUUUCUGAGCAGGAUUCCAUUAUCGACGAAAAAAGGAACUCCUCUGCUCAACAAAAUGGCGACAGAUGGUUUCCAGUACCGUGUGCUCUACACAUUUACCAAGGACCAAGAAGAGGACUUGGACCUGCAGCCAGGGGACCUCCUGACCAUCAGCAAGGCCUCUCUAAUGUCAGUGCAGAGCUACGAGGAUGGCUUUGAGGAGUACCCGGAGCGUCUAGGCUGGCUCCUAGGAUACAACGAACGCACCAAGCAGAGAGGUGACUUCCCAGGGACCUUCGUCGAAUUUGUUGGUCCCAUCAAAAUGGCCCAUCCAUCAAGUCAACCAAGGUCCCAGCGACCUCUCCCAGCUGCUCCCAUACCAGAACCAUCUCACAGUAAGAUCUUUCACGUUAUUUUAGAUGUUAGAUUUUAGUCCAUCUCUGCUUGAUGCUGGUGUUCUGUUGGUUUGGCAUGCCCUGUCAGCAUACCGUAAGUCCAACAGGUUUGUUUAUCAGCCAACAUACCGAUGUUUCUGUUUUGAUGGGUGUUACACUGAACACCCAUCAGUGUAACACCCACUGAUAUAAACUACUGAUAUAGUAGUUUAUAAACUACUAUAUCAGUGUAUCUCACUAAAGCUAAAUAAUAAACAACAAAUUAU